AAGUCUGGGAAUCAACUUUUAGUAUUAUAGAUUCUGGUAAUGUCCCUCUUGCUGUCUUCGUAGUAUUUCUAAGUAAUCUAAGCUGUUGGUACACUUUCAUGUAAACUUCCCAUGUUGCAAAAGAAGAAGAUGAAGAAGGAGGAGGAGAAGAAAUUAUUUUAGGAAUACCAAAAGAAAAUUUGUCAAUUGCUACAUAAAGUUUGCACAUAGAAGGUACAUAGAAGCACCACACACCACACGAGCACUGGGAAGCAUAAAUAAAGGUCAGAGAUUCUUCAUUUUUCUUUUAAAUUACUCCUGCCCAACAUAUUGUGAUAUCAAAAAUACAUUUUCUUUCUCCCCACCUCCUUUUUCUUCUUUUUCUUUUCCUUCUCCUUUGCCUCCUCUUCCUCCUUUCCCUCUCUCCUGAAGCUGUUAUCAUUCUGGACAAAUUCACAUAAUUUUGGCAAAAUAGGAUUUCCUUUUAAAAUUUAAAAAUAUCCUAAUGAGGUUUUUAAGCAAGUCAACCAGUCAUAAAAAUGUUUUGUAUUCUUCCAAAAGGAAUAUUUUAUAUCUAUGUAGUAGAAGAUCACAAUGUAUAGUGAAAAAUUCAGUCAAUUAUUUGAGUGUUUGUUUAAUAUCAGAUUUUUUUCUCUCUCUCAAAUUUGUGAAUAUAUCUAUACUUGAGUGCUGAUAGAUACAAUUCCUGAUUAUGGAACUUAAUUUAGUGGAGAAAUCUAUUUCAGUUGACUAUCCUUGGGUGCCUGCUACCCACUGAAUAAAUGCCGUUGACUUCCUCUACAGUAGGUAUAAGGUAUUCCUCCAAGUUAUUCAAAGAUAACAAAAGACUAAAUAAACUCCUGCCAUCGUGAAAUUUUGUGGAAAUACGGAUUAUAAUUUAAAAAUACCAAAAAAGGUUGGGAUUUGGGCCCAGCUAUCGAUCCAGGAAAAAGAAAUUGGAUACGUUUCCUCAGAAUAAGUCACAGUAAAGGUAUGAACUGCUAUGAAAACAGAAUAUCCUGGAGAAGUUUGAUAGAGAGCAUGGGACUUGAAGAGUGGGCGGGCUGUGAUAGACAGAUAUGGGACCAUAUUCUAGGUGGGGGGAAAUGUAUAGAAAUGAAAUUGUACAGUGUACAAUAAAAAUUAUUUAAUUGGUUUCAAAUAAAGUUUUGAGAAUAACACAAAGUGAGACCAAAUGUUAUCUGUUUUAAUGGGCCAUUUUAUACCUUAUUCAUUCAGGAAAUACUGUCAUCAUAAGUGCCAUGAAAACAUUUUACAGGUAUUAAAAACAUUUAUUUUAAAGAGAGUUAAAAUUCAGUGGUGAGGAAUAAGUGUGAGAAAUCUAGUGCUUGUCACACUAGCUCAUCCCUGGAUCUAGGUGCCUCUAUGUUCCUCAGUAUCCUCAUGUAGAUAUGUAUUUCUCAUAUUUGUGAAAUAACAUUUCAAAGAAUAAAUUGAAGACUCAUGGAAAAUCAAUCAUUCUUUCUCAAAGAAAUUAUGUGGGUCACUUCUUAUGUGCCACUUGCUCUCAAAGUUUCAUUAUAGUUACGGAUAAACACUGCAUCUUUUUUUUUUUUUUUUUGUCUUUUUGCCUUUUCUAGGGCUGCUCCCCCAGCAUGUGGAGGUUCCCAGGCUAGGGGGUCUAAUCGGAGCUGUAGCCGCCGGCCUUUGCCAGAGCCACAGCAACUCGGGAUCCAAGCCACGUCUGCGACCUAAACCACAGUCACGGCAAUGCCAGAUCCUUAACCCAUUGAGCAAGGCUAGGGAUUGAACCCACAACCUCGUGGUUCCUAAUCAGAUUCAUUAACCACUGAGCCACGACAGGAUCUCCUACACUGCAUCUUAAAAUGUGGUUUUUGUUUUUUGUGUUUUUUUUGUUUUUUAAGGCCUCACCCGUGACACAUGGUGGUGUUCCCACCUAGCUGCUGGCCUAGGCCACAGCCACAGCAAUGUCAGAUCCGAGCCAUGCUUUCACGCUACACCACAGCUCAUGGCAAUGCUGGAUCCUUAACCCACUGAGCGAGGCCAGGGAUCGAACCUGCAUCCAAGUGGAUACUAGUCAAAUUCGUUUCCACUGAGCCACGAUGGGAACUCCUUAACAUGUGUUUUUAAGUGAACAAAUCUUUAGCUUAAGAAAGGAAAAAAUAAUUUUUUAAAUUCUGCCACCCAGAUGUUCUUCAUUUACACCUAUGCAAGUGAAUGAAAGUUUAGAAAUACACUCAAAUACAUUUAAAAGGCCACAGGGAUAUCUUAUAAUCAGGAAGUAUCAGCCAAUUGUAUGAUCAACCUCAAAAUCUUUGAUAAAAAGAUACUAACAGGCAAAGAAGCAAGGAAUAAAGACACACUAAAUACAUUCUAGCAAUAUCAUAAUCAUCUUGAAAUCAAAAUAGUAAACUAAUACAAGUUUUUUAGUGAAGUAAUGCACAACAGUCCAGUAAUGUAAUGUUUGUUAUGUGUCGAUCUUACUAAUAUGAAACUCAAGUAGAAACUAAGUCUCAGUUUAGUUUUCAAACUAAAUUAACUAAAGCUUCCAGGCCCAAGAAAUAUUUUAUAGGGGAAAUGGUUUGAAACAUAUGGAACAUCAAAUUAGAAUCAAAUAUGAGGCAAACAAUGUGGAUGGGUGCAAGGGUUUGUGACAGUAAAAGAAACACCCAUUUUUAUCUGUUGCUGGUUAAUCAUGUUGAAUAAAGCACUGGUUAAUUGUCUAGAAUCAUAUAUUUAAUUUUGAUUUGACUUUGCCCUGCCACAUACCCUCAAAUUAUAACCCUCCUCUAACAGAAGUCUUUUACUUAUAGGCUCCUUUCAGUCAGUACAAAACUUCUGAAUGUUCAUAGGGGAAACAAGGUGUUAUGUAGGUGCUCUUGAAUGAAAAAAAUGUUGCAGUUAAAAGCAAAAGGUGUCAGAGUUCCCAUUGUUGCUCAGCAGAAAUGAAUCUGACUAGUAACCAUGAGGUUGCUGAUUUGAUCCCUGGACUCGCCCAGUGGGUUAAGGAUCCAGUGUUGCUGUGAGCUGUAGUGUAGGUUGUAGAUGCAAUUCGGAUAUGGCAUUUCUUUGGUUGUGGUGUAGGCUGGUAGCUGUAGCUCCGAUUAGACCUCUAGCCUGGGAACCUCCAAACGCCAAGGGUGUGGCCCUAAAAAGAAAAAAAAUGUAAAAGAUGUCAUACCACUUGCCCUAAAAGAUACAGAACAAUUUUCAUAUUUAAGGGGUGACUCAAAGAAAAUUGUUAACAUUGCUUUUAAUACCCACUUAAGGACCACUUGUUUGUAAAGCUUUUCCUUAAUAAUUACUGCAACUUUUAAUCAAAUAUACCCGGUAUUAUGCUUCUAAAUUUUACUAUGGCAUGGCCAACAAUACAGAAAUUUAUAGAAAUGAAAGUGAUAAUGUAGAAAAAAGUGAAAGUGCCCUUCAUCACUUCUCCAAGAGUGUGCAUCCUUCCAUAUCUCAGGUAUAAAGAUGGAUGGAUGAUGGAUGAAUGGUUGGAAAGAUAGGCAGACAAAUGAUAGGUAGUUGAUGGAUAGAUAGAUAGAUAGGUAGCCAGACAGAUAGAUAAUAGUGAAGAACACAGACUCUGGAUCUAGAGAAUCAAGUUUUGGGUCCCAGCUCUAUUGUUUACCACAUGUAUGAUCUCAGUUUCCUCAUCUGUAAAAGCGGGGAUAGCAACAAUACUAUCACAUUGAGUUAUUAUAAGGAUUAAGUAAAUUUUUAUGUGAACUGCUUAGAACAGUGUUUGGCACACAGUAAGCAUUAUAUAAGGGUUAGAUACCCUUGUUCUUAUGAAUGCACACAUAUACUAAGCUUUUUUUUUAAACAAAUGAGAUUUUAUUAUGUGUUUUUCUCACUUCAUAAUAUGUCAGGGAAGACCUUUUUUUUUGUCUUCUUAUGGCCGCACCCACGGUAUAUGGAAGUUCCCAGGCUAGGAGUCGAAUCAGAAUUGGAACUGUAGCUGCUGGCCUACACCAUAGCCACAGCAACACAGGAUCCAAGCCGAGUCUAUGACCCAUACCACAACUCACAGCAACGCCAUACCCUUAACCCACUGAGCGAGCCGAGGGAUCAAACCUAUGUCCUUGUGGAUACUAGUUGGGUUUGUUACUGCUGAGCCAUGAUGGGAACUGCAGGGAAGACAUUAUUAUAACACAGACAUUGCUAUAAAACAUUUCACUCUUUGUAACUGUUGCCUAAUAUCCCACAGUACCCGAAUUUCUUUAACCAUUAUCUUAUUGAUGGUCAUUUAGGUUGUUUCCAGUUAUUUCUGCUUUAAAGCAGCUACUUGUCCUUGAAUAUAUAACAAGGAAUGCAGAAGGGUCAAGUAUAUAAGAUAUCCCCAUAGAAUAAAUGAUCAAAGUGAGGCUUAGAGAAGUUUAGUAAAUUGCAUAAGGUCAAAUAGCUAAAGUAACAGAGUUCAGAGGAGAACUAGUUUAACACAGUUUCACACUGUCUUACCUCACAAUUUCCCAUUUGAUUUAGAAUAGCUUCACACAUACAGUGGUCACAAAAGACAUUUCUGCUUUCUAAGACAAGUACCAGACUACUAUAAGUUACUGUGCUGCCAAAGUGGACGUGAGCAGAGAGAUAUAAGGGAAUAUAUUAAAAGACUGAAUAAAAUAGUAAGCCGGGCAAUGUCCUAAGUAAAUAUUAAAGAUAAUAUUAAAUUUAUGACACCAAUUUUAAAAGCUCAAAUGGUUUGAUCAGGAUAAAUAAAACAUGGUGGUGGGAGGCGGGGCUGAGAGGAUGACUUGCUACUUGAACUAUUUGAAGGAUAUUAUUUGAAAAACUGCUACAUUUACUUCUAAUCUCAGAUUGUAAUCCUCAAUUAACACUGAUCUGACAUUAUUGUGAUUGACCCCAGUACCCUCACACACAAACUCUAUAACUUAUAACACUCUAUUAAAUAAUAUUAAGAUAAUCAAACUUCAUUAACUACAAAUACAUAUUAAAGUCAAUUGAAAUGACUUUAAUUCAUUGUGAUCCUAGAACAUAUAGUCCAUUUGUAAUACAAUGAAGUCUCAGCCAAGUAUAGUCCUCUCUUGCAGACAAGAGACUAUUGUACAGUGACUUCAAAAUAUGCAGGGCUCAUUGUGGAAAUACCCUUCUAAUAGCUUACUUUUCCUUUUUUUUUUUUUUUUUUUUUCUUUUGGCCACUCCUGCAGCAUGUGUAAAUUCCCAGGCCAGGGAUUGAACUUGCACCAUGGCAGUGACCCAGGCUGCUACAGUGACAAAACCAGAUCCUCGACCUGCUGCACCACUACAGAACUCCAUAGCCCACAUUUCUAAUUCCGGUAGUAUUUAACUUUAGAAUUUUAUUCUAGGCUAAGUCAUUCAAUGUCUUUAGAACUGGGGCAAAUGACUUCUCCAAAUUGAAAUUUCCUCUGAUAUAAAACAGGAUUACUGUGUUUGUUUUGUUGGGAAAUAGAUGAAUUUAUUUUAUUGAUGUUUAUCUGAAAGUUUGAGAAAGUCUAGGAGAUGGCAACUGUGAUGUUUCACUGCAGUAAAAACAAUGCCAAAAGUUAGAAAUGUGAAGAACAGGGUUCCCGUCGUGGUGCAGUGGUUAACGAAUUUGACUAGGAACCAUGAGGUUGCAGGUUCUGUCCCUGCCCUUGCUCAGUGGGUUAACGAUCCGGCGUUGCCGUGAGCUGUGGUGUAGGUUGCAGAUGCGGCUCGGAUCCCACGUUGCUGUGGCUCUGGCGUAGGCCGGUGGCUACAGCUCCGAUUCAACCCCUAGCCUGGGAACCUCCAUAAGCCGAGGGAGCGGCCCAAGAAAUAGCAACAACAACAAC
rnacentral:lncRNA from 1 species